GAUGAACGCUAGCGGGAGGCCUAACACAUGCAAGCCGAGCGGUAUUUGUUCUUCGGAACAGAGAGAGCGGCGCACGGGUGCGGAACACGUGUGCAACCUGCCUUUAUCUGGGGGAUAGCCUUUCGAAAGGAAGAUUAAUACCCCAUAAUAUAUUGAGUGGCAUCAUUUGAUAUUGAAAACUCCGGUGGAUAGAGAUGGGCACGCGCAAGAUUAGAUAGUUGGUGAGGUAACGGCUCACCAAGUCAAUGAUCUUUAGGGGGCCUGAGAGGGUGAUCCCCCACACUGGUACUGAGACACGGACCAGACUCCUACGGGAGGCAGCAGUGAGGAAUAUUGGACAAUGGGUUAGCGCCUGAUCCAGCCAUCCCGCGUGAAGGACGACGGCCCUAUGGGUCGUAAACUUCUUUUGUAUAGGGAUAAACCUACUCUCGUGAGAGUAGCUGAAGGUACUAUACGAAUAAGCACCGGCUAACUCCGUG
rnacentral:rRNA from 1 species